rnacentral:lncRNA from 1 species
GGGGAAGCUGGAUGGCUUGUGAGGGAUUCCAGGGAUCCAAAGUGAUUCGAAAAACUAAAGAGGCACCAUUUGUCCCCAUUGGAAUGGCAGGUUUUGCAGUAGUUGCUGCAUACGGAUUAUACAAAUUGAAAAGCAGGGGAAAUACUAAAAUAUCACGUCACCUGAUCCACAUGCGUGUGGCAGUCCAGCUUUGUUGUAGGAGCAAUGACUGUUGGUAUGGGCUAUUCCAUGUAUCCGGAUUUCUAUGCAAAACUUAAAC